UCUUAACGAAACCGGUCACUCUGACCUCAGAUAUACUGUAAAAUGCUAACUCGAUUCCAGUGCCACUACCGAUUUUUUCCACAGAAAAGUUUAAAACACUUGGAUAUUGCCGCUUUAUGGAGGAUUUAUGAAUAGAGAUUCAUUGAGAGUGAUCAAAAACUUAAGAUCGUGUUAGGCCCGACUCAAACUCCAAAACAAGAUUGCAAAACAAGGGGACCUCAAUGAAUCCGUAAGAAAGACGAACUACGCGACCUUACCCACAAAACAUCGGCCUACGACCACCACUACAAAAACCCUAGUAUCCUUGGAUCGCAAUUUGGCAGUCGUUGGAAGUCGAGGCCUAAAAUCUGAUUAAAGGGCUGAUAGAAGAUCCAUCUACACCUGAAUAGCACAUUAAAUGGCUCUAACUCCACCCGCUCUGGUAACUGUACUGCCUCCGCCCUUUGCUCUUUACCACUUCCCACUACCAAAGCGACCCAGCUCAACCCGCUUGUGGGGAAUAUCCUGUCCGUGCCUGCCUCAUACCUACCUAUCGUUGAUGCUUGUUUGUUCCUUUUGCUUGCUACAUACCCUAGAUUUUAGUUUUUAAGUUUUAUGUUGGUUAUUUAAGUGAAGUUUAAAUGAUCAGAUUGUAGAUCUCUAAACGCAGUGUUACUGAUUUAAUAUAUUAAUGAACGAUAGGAAAUGUCCGGAAAUCAUGUUUUCUUCACAAUUUUCGAAAGCAAACUUAAACAACGAACUAAUACUGAUAUUUAUCUGUAUAAAUGUUUCAGAUGAGUGAAGAAACAGACAAUAUGAUGCUGGUGAGUUGAAGCUCUUACGUACUUUCCGUUAGAUAUGAUGCUGAAUUCAAACGCCUUUUCGUCCGCAUACCCUUAGUCAAGUUUUACGUAAGAGUAUGUUAUAAAUAUUUUAAACCUAUCUAUCUAUCUAUCUAUCUAUAUAUAUAUAUAUAUAUAUAUAUAUAUAUAUAUAUAUAUAAUAUAUAUAUAUAUAUAUACGUUUUUAUUCUAUUAAAUUUUUAGUUACAUUACAAAUUGUUAACAUUACUACUAUAUAAACAGUACAUGGAGAUUUAAUAUUAAACUUAAUGAGUUCAAUAUUUGUAUAACAUUAAAUAAUAUUAAAAGAAACUGUGUCAAUUUUUAUUUAAGAUGUAUUGCGGUAUCCCGUGUGAUGAAGAUAGCCUUGUUCUUAAAUAGCUCUGUGAAACAAAAAGUUUAUAAUUGUAAAUUAGUGUAAUGUUAACGUUAGUUAUAAGAACCAAACAUGGUUAAUCUAUAACAUUAUAUUUGUAAUAAAUAGGAUAUUAAGAAUAACGUUUGAUUCUAAUGUCAAGUUCAUGCUUAUACUUCAAAUAUACAAAUACUAUUGGC